UGGGGAAUAUUGGGCAAUGGGCGCAAGCCUGACCCAGCAACGCCGCGUGAAGGAAGAAGGCCUUCGGGUUGUAAACUUCUUUGACCAGGGACGAAGAUGUGACGGUACCUGGAAAACAAGCCACGGCUAACUACGUGCCAGCAGCCGCGGUAAUACGUAGGUGGCAAGCGUUGUCCGGAUUUACUGGGUGUAAAGGGCGCGUAGGCGGGACUGCAAGUCAGAUGUGAAAUCUGGGGGCUUAACCCUCAAACUGCAUUUGAAACUGUGGUUCUUGAGUAUCGGAGAGGCAGGCGGAAUUCCAAGUGUAGCGGUGAAAUGCGUAGAUAUUUGGAGGAACACCAGUGGCGAAGGCGGCCUGCUGGACGACAACUGACGCUGAGGCGCGAAAGCGUGGGGAGCAAACAGG
rnacentral:rRNA from 2 species